rnacentral:rRNA from 1 species
ACUCAAAUGAAUUGACGGGGGCCCGCACAAGCGGUGGAGCAUGUGGUUCAAUUCGACGCAACGCGAAGAACCUUACCUGGGCUAGACUACACCGGACCGUCCUAGAAAUAGGAUUUUCCCGCAAGGGACUGGUGGUUCAGGUGCUGCAUGGCUGUCGUCAGCUCGUGUCGUGAGAUGUUGGGUUAAGUCCCGCAACGAGCGCAACCCUUGCCUCUAGUUGCUACCAUUUAGUUGAGCACUCUAGAGGGACUGCCCGUGUUAAACGGGAGGAAGGUGGGGAUGACGUCAAGUCCUCAUGGCCCUUAUGUCCAGGGCUACACACGUGCUACAAUGGGCGGAAACAAAGGGUUGCGAAGCCGCGAGGUGAAGCCAAUCCCAAAAAACCGCUCUUAGUUCGGAUUGGAGUCUGCAAUUCGACUCCAUGAAGGUGGAAUCGCUAGUAAUCGCGGAUCAGCACGCCGCGGUGAAUACGUUCCCGGGCCUUGCACACACCGCCCGU